rnacentral:lncRNA from 1 species
CGGGCGGCCUCCGUGUGCCAAAAAUAGGCCACGGGCACAGCCGCGCCCAAAAAUCAGCCCCCGAAGGUCGGGGUCACAAGACCCCCCAGCGGAAAAAAGGCCAAGAAACGCGUGGGCUAUAGCCUUGGUGGGGGGCGUGGGUGAAGUUCGUCCGCGGGACUCGGAAUGGCACCAUACUUGGCGGGCGGCCUCCGUGUGCCAAAAAUAGGCCACGGGCACAGCCGCGCCCAAAAAUCAGCCCCCGAAGGUCGGGGUCCCAAGCCCCCCCAGCGGAAAAAUGGCCAAGAAACGCGUGGGCUAUAGCCUUGGUGGGGGGCGUGGGCGAAGUUCGUCCGCGGGACUCGGAAUGGCCCCAGACUUGGCGGGCGGCCUCCGUGUGCCAAAAAUAGGCCACGGGCACAGCCGGGCCCAAAAAUCAGCCCCCGAAGGUCGGGGUCACAAGGACCCCCCAGCGGAAAAAAGGCCAAGAAACGGGUGGGCUAUAGCCUUGGUGGGGGGCGUGGGCGAAGUUCGUCCGCGGGACUCGGAAUGGCACCAUACUUGGCGGGCGGCCUCCGUGUGCCAAAAAUAGGCCACGGGCACAGCCGCGCCCAAAAAUCAGCCCCCGAAGUUCGGGGUCCCAAGACCCCCCAGCGGAAAAAUGGCCAAAAAACGGGUGGGCUAUAGCCUUGGUGGGGGGCGUGGGCGAAGUUCGUCCGCGGGACUCGAAAUGGCCCCAGACUUGGCGGGCGGCCUCCGUGUGCCAAAAAUAGGCCACGGGCACAGCCGCGCCCAAAAAUCAGCCCCCGAAGGUCGGGGUCCCAAGACCCCCCAGCGGAAAAAUGGCCAAGAAACGCGUGGGCUAUAGCCUUGGUGGGGGGCGUGGGCGAAGUUCGUCCGCGGGACUCGGAAUAGCCCCAGACUUGGCGGGCGGCCUCCGUGUGCCAAAAAUUGGCCACGGGCACAGCCGCGCCCAAAAAUCAGCCCCCGAAGGUCGGGGUCCCAAGACCCCCCAGCGGAAAAAUGGCCAAGAAACGGGUGGGCUAUAGCCUUGGUGGGGGGCGUGGGCGAAGUUCGUCCGCGGGACUCGGAAUGGCCCCAGACUUGGCGGGCGGCCUCCGUGUGCCAAAAAUAGGCCACGGGCACAGCCGCACCCAAAAAUCAGCCCCCGAAGGUCGGGGUCCCAAGACCCCCCAGCGGAAAAAUGGCCAAGAAACGCAUGGGCUAUAGCCUUGGUGGGGGGCGUGGGCGAAGUUCGUCCGCGGGACUCGGAAUGGCCCCAGACUUGGCGGGCGGCCUCCGUGUGCCAAAAAUAGGCCACGGGCACAGCCGCGCCCAAAAAUCAGCCCCCGAAGGUCGGGGUCCCAAGACCCCCCAGCGGAAAAAUGGCCAAGAAACGCGUGGGCUAUAGCCUUGGUGGGGGGCGUGGGCGAAGUUCGUCCGCGGGACUCGGAAUGGCCCCAGACUUGGCGGGCGGCCUCCGUGUGCCAAAAAUAGGCCACGGGCACAGCCGCGCCCAAAAAUCAGCCCCCGAAGGUCGGGGUCCCAAGACCCCCCUGCGGAAAAAUGGCCAAGAAACGCGUGGGCUAUAGCCUUGGUGGGGGGCGUGGGCGAAGUUCGUCCGCGGGACUCGGAAUGGCCCCAGACUUGGCGGGCGGCCUCCGUGUGCCAAAAAUAGGCCACGGGCACAGCCGCGCCCAAAAAUCAGCCCCCGAAGGUCGGGGUCCCAAGACCCCCCAGCGGAAAAAUGGCCAAGAAACGCGUGGGCUAUAGCCUUGGUGGGGGGCGUGGGCGAAGUUCGUCCGCGGGACUCGGAAUGGCCCCAGACUUGGCGGGCGGCCUCCGUGUGCCAAAAAUAGGCCACGGGCACAGCCGCGCCCAAAAAUCAGCCCCCGAAGGUCGGGGUCCCAAGACCCCCCAGCGGAAAAAUGGGCCAAGAAACGGGUGGGCUAUAGCCUUUGGUAGGGGGCGUGGGCGAAGUUCGUCCGCGGGGACUCGGGAAAUGGCCCCCAGACUUGGCGGGCGGCCUCCGUGUGCCCAAAAAAUAGGCCACGGGGCACAGCCGGCGCCCCAAAAAUCAGCCCCCCGAAGGUCGGGGGUCCCCAAGACCCCCCCAGCGGAAAAAACGGCCAAAGAAAACGCGGUGGGCUAUAGCCCUUGGGUGGGGGGGCGUGGGCGAAAGUUUCGUUUGCGGGGACUCGGAAUGGCCCCAGACUUGGCAGGCGGCCCUCCGUGUGCCAAAAAUAGGCCACGGGCACAGCCGCGCCCAAAAAUCAGCCCCCGAAGGUCGGGGUCCCAAGACCCCCCAGCGGAAAAAUGGCCAAGAAACGGGUGGGCUAUAGCCUUGGUGGGGGGCGUGGGCGAAGUUCGUCCGCGGGACUCGGAAUGGCCCCAGACUUGGCGGGCGGCCUCCGUGUGCCAAAAAUAGGCCACGGGCACAGCCGCGCCCAAAAAUCAGCCCCCGAAGGUCGGGGUCCCAAGACCCCCCAGCGGAAAAAUGGCCAAGAAACGGGUGGGCUAUAGCCUUGGUGGGGGGCGUGGGCGAAGUUCGUCCGUGGGACUCGGAAUGGCACCAUACUUGGCGGGCGGCCUCCGUGUGCCAAAAAUAGGCCACGGGCACAGCCGCGCCCAAAAAUCAGCCCCCGAAGGUCGGGGUCCCAAGACCCCCCAGCGGAAAAAUGGCCAAAAAACGGGUGGGCUAUAGCCUUGGUGGGGGGCGUGGGCGAAGUUCGUCCGCGUGACUCGGAAUGGCCCCAGACUUGGCGGGCGGCCUCCGUGUGCCAAAAAUAGGCCACGGGCACAGCCGCGCCCAAAAAUCAGCCCCCGAAGGUCGGGGUCACAAGACCCCCCAGCGGAAAAAAGGCCAAGAAACGCGUGGGCUAUAGCCUUGGUGGGGGGCGUGGGCGAAGUUCGUCCGCGGGACUCGGAAUGGCCCCAGACUUGGCGGGCGGCCUCCGUGUGCCAAAAAUAGGCCACGGGCACAGCCGCGCCCAAAAAUCAGCCCCCGAAGGUCGGGGUCCCAAGACCCCCCAGCGGAAAAAUGGCCAAGAAACGGGUGGGCUAUAGCCUUGGUGAGGGGCGUGGGCGAUGUUCGUCCGCGGGACUCGGAAUGGCCCCAGACUUGGCGGGCGGCCUCCGUGUGCCAAAAAUAGGCCACGGGCACAGCCGCGCCCAAAAAUCAGCCCCGAAGGUCGGGGUCCCAAGACCCCCCAGCGGAAAAAUGGCCAAAAAACGGGUGGGCUAUAGCCUUGGUGGGGGGCGUGGGCGAAGUUCGUCCGCGGGACUCGGAAUGGCCCCAG